UGGGGAAUAUUGCACAAUGGUCGCAAGCCUGAUGCAGCCAUGCCGCGUGUAUGAAGAAGGCCUUCGGGUUGUAAAGUACUUUCAGCGGGGAGGAAGGGAGUAAAGUUAAUACCUUUGCUCAUUGACGUUACCCGCAGAAGAAGCACCGGCUAACUCCGUGCCAGCAGCCGCGGUAAUACGGAGGGUGCAAGCGUUAAUCGGAAUUACUGGGCGUAAAGCGCACGCAGGCGGUUUGUUAAGUCAGAUGUGAAAUCCUCGGGCUCAACCUGGGAACUGCAUCUGAUACUGGCAAGCUUGAGUCUCGUAGAGGGGGGUAGAAUUCCAGGUGUAGCGGUGAAAUGCGUAGAGAUCUGGAGGAAUACCGGUGGCGAAGGCGGCCCCCUGGACGAAGACUGACGCUCAGGUGCGAAAGCGUGGGGAGCAAACAGG
rnacentral:rRNA from 1 species